UUGUUGUUUCUUACUACCUAACUCCCUGCUGGAAAGGAGCCUGAAAAAAUACACACAGUAAAAUUUGGUGAGCAGACCCACUGUGCACGCAGCUACAGAUAGAUAAACCACCAGGCCACAAUUAUCCCCCAGACUCUGCUCCUCCACAGGCAACUUUGCUGCUGAUUUACAUCGAUGGAAGAGAGAAAGCAGAUUAAGCAUCUCAAGACUGCAUUACAAAGGGAUGGCAGGUUUGCAGCAAGUGUUAAGGCACGGUGGAAUAGGGAGAGUCGAGUAUCUCAGCAGUUUUGUCUAUACAUCUAUUCUCUGUAAUGCAGUUAAUUUUAAUAACGUGUUUCCAGUCUGUGAUGUGUGUUAUACUGAUAUGUAUCUGUGAUUUGAAUGUAUAUUCAUCUCUGUGUGUAUAGAGUUAGAUGGGUAUCCUUUCAGCAAGAAAACUGUAUGCCACAAUAGAGAAUGGAAACAGUAAAAAUAAUCUUUUAGAUUCCGCUUUAAAAGCAGAGAUGACUGGAAUCACAUUAGAAAGGAUUAAUGCAGUAGGUACAUACCUUGCUGAAAUUUGCAUGCUUCCAUUGUUGGAAAGUGGGAAACAAAGGGAAAAAUUAUUCCCCGAUAUGCUCUCGGCGUAGAGAUAUACGCAGUGAUUCACUGAAGACAGCUAUGGAGGUUACAAAACAGAAAUUAAGAGGCAAUAUAAAUUACGUGAGGGUGUUCUAGAUGAUUAGACAACUCGCUGGUCCAUUUACAGUGCUGCUUGUAGCUUUAUAUCAAAUCUGAUGAGAGAGUGGCAAAUUGUAAGCAAGGAAAUUUUUCACUCUCUCCUGUCCUUAAGCUGUACUUUGUUUAGAGAGAUCUUAAUGCAUAUCCUGAGCAUUUUAAUAAGAAACUAUUGCAUGCCACUGGUUUGUGCAAACAGUAGUUGUAUUAUUACAGAGGAUGAAUUAAUCUUCCAGGCGUCCAUUUGUGCUACUCAGAUCAGGCAGGGUUUAUUUGCAAAGGGCUGACCCUGCUUCCUGGCAGGUUUGCCGGGAGGUGCCGUGCCAGGUGCCUCCACUGAAUGCGAGAGGGUUCAGCUGGCACAUCUCCGGGACCGCGGGGACAGUCACAUGGCAGGGGCUGCCGCCUGAGGGAAUGCAGGGCCAGUGGCUGUGAGGACAGUGGCACCGAGUCCUGGGUUCGACAGGCUCCUUCAGGGAUUCUUUAGUGGGUAUUAAAGGCUGGUAGGAAGCAAGUAUUCUCAAGCUCGGGUCUGCAUUCUUCUGGUAAUGCAAAUUUAGCCCAAGGUCACACAAAAAACCUUUAUUUCAAGUAGCUUGCUCCAUCUUAAGCAGAAUUGCUACAACAUUUCCCUUUGUACAGAUUUUGUUAAGUAAAUGCUUAAUAGCAGGGUGACUCUCAUCUUAGGGCAAAUAUUUUAGAAAUCCGUUGUUAGUCACAUCAGGUGUGCGUCUUCAAUAUUGCAACAUCUGCUAUUUGUUACAUGCAAACAGAGAAUGAAAAUGUGUAUUUGCCCUGUCCUGGGCUCUUCUGUAAUUCAGGCAACCUGGCUGAACGCGCCAGAGACAGUGCUGACAGUACAGUUAUUUCAGGAGGGUAACAUCGCACCAAAAGUUGAGUAGGGGGUAAACUAAAAAGUGUUGUAUUAUGCUUGGGUGCCCUCUAAGUUAUUUUACAAUCCAGUGCAUACUUUAAAUAUAUCUUGUUCCUUAGAAUUUCCUUGUAGAAGUCAGCGCUGUGCUGCUGUUCCAGCAGAGCAAACAUUGGAUGGACUCUUCACAAACAGAAGAAUGUUCGUAUAUUUUGUGACUGGCGAUUUUCACUUGCUGACAUUCUUCUACACACUUGGGAGUCGUCCCUUUCCUUUGGAGCAGCCUAAGGAAAAUGCUGCCCUCUCUUGAAUUUGAGGGCGCAGUGCACCUCCUGUCAAAGGCUGCCCGGGGAGCGGGAGGCAGCGCAUUGCCGAAAGAUGCUAGUGAUUCCAGUGGGGCUGGUGAGUGGCAAGAAAGGCAACACCGUACUUCAUAAUAUUAAAUAGUUUCCAAAGGAGAGUUUUUCUGAAGAAUGCAAAUUCUCUAAAAUAUAAAUUCUUUUUCUUCUAAAAAAAAUUGGAAAGCAAGUAAAGAUGCCUUACUCCGUUAUGGAAGUUAUUUAGCCAGGGCAAUUUCAUUGUUUCAGGUGCCUGAAUAGAGGGGAGGCCAAGUCCUGAAAUUCUUUGGACUACCUUAAACGAGCCUUCAUUCAAAUUGAAACAAUAUCUUUGACUGUUUGAGUUGUGAGAUUUGCUGAAUGCCCAUUUAGGUCUUGCAGUCAAAGGAAAACUUUUUUUCUGAUAGGUCUUCUCUGAAGGAGGGAGGAUGCAACUGGCUGCCACUGGACCUCUCCACCAGAAAAGAAACACUUACGGUUACAGUAGUGUAUGACAACCCCCAAAGCUUGCCUGUCUGUAUGGGACCACUGUUGCGGUGCCUGUAGAAACCAACAUUUCACUGCCUUGAGCAGCUGGGUCAGGAGAUGUGUCUCCAGCUGGAGGGAGGAGGAGGUUUCUCCUCUUCACUGGCAAACAUGGAUAGGGCAUAGUCUUUGUGCAUCUUCCUUAAGGAGGAAAUAUAAAGGAGAUCCGGUGAGAAAAGCUAUUCUGGAGUAGCUUCUGCCUCCAUUUCUUCAACAGGGGCAUUAAAACAAACAAACAAAAAAGAUCUCCCUUUCUCCCAUACACACCCCCGAUUGUAGAAGGAUGUGUAUCUUUCUGCUGGAGGCAAGAGGUGAAAAGGACCAUUAUGUGAUGUGUAGGAGGGAUUGCCUAUAAGGAGUCCUACAGCAAGCUACCAUCACUAGAAGGGAGGGCAUGCAGGUUUUGGGCUGUAUUAACCCAUCAGAUGCCAGUGCACACAUGAGAACCAGGUUUCCUGGAUAUCAGAUGCUGCAUGAGAGGAGGGUGAAGUGGGUCAUGCAUUGUGGAAAAGAAGGAGAAAAACAUGCAUGUACACCUAAACCCAUGGUCUUUUUCUUUCCUAUUAUUAUUUAAAAGGAUUUUCUGAACAUACAGCUCCCCACCGAGCCCACUUACAAUUCUCAGAAGCUGAAAGACAGGUAGGCAACAAGGAGCAACCUCCAGGCAAAAUGAUUAGCUAAUAAUAGCUGUGCAUCUUGUUAGUUACAUGAUUUGUGCAAAAGGACAUACUUCUCAAUAUUUAUCUCACUCUUCUGCACCGAUUUAUUUUUUUUACACAAAUGUGGGGGUGAUUAAUCCCAAAUGCAAUCUGAAGCAGGAUAAACAGAAGGGGACUGGGCAUGUAUAUGUGACUUGUACUGUAUACUGCCUCAUCUAUAUUAAAUAUGAGACAAAGUAAUAAAAAUAAACAAUACAUAAUUGUGUCAGUUGCAACUCAGGCAGUAACAAAAUAUUGCCACAUUUUUUCUUAGGAAGCUGGCUGUGUGGUGGCUGAAAAGACCCCUAAAGCACAUAAAGCUCUUAUCUUCAUACAUUUCCCUCAAGAAUAAUAGAUCAGUCGGUGCUCUGAUGCUGUUUUAAUAAUGUACAAUUUACAAUUCAUUUGGUUACCAAGCACUCACAGUAUAAUUAAUUUCACAGACCCUUUCUACACAUUGGCAUGGUUUAUGACAGUACAGAGGGGAGACGGGGAAACUGUGUUCCCCCUCCUGUCACAGAAGAGUGCCUGCAUGAUGCGUCACCUGGCUGGUCUGACAGCAGUCCUGCCACUGUAGGGGUGACAGGGCUUGAUUUCCCUUUUCCUUCUGCCCCAGCUCCCAUAUCCAUACAUGAACACCGCCAUGGGGGAUGUUGCCCUGAGGGUGAGCCCAGCUCAGCCUGCAGCACCCCAGUAGCAUUGAGCCAGAGCUGCCCCAUCCCUUCAAGUUGCAGAGGGCCCUGUGGUCUGUUGCAAGUGCUGGAGCAAAAGCUAAGCCGGGGACAGAAAAGUCUGGCAAGGAUACAGGUAUUGCUUCAGUCAGGAGUGACUGCCCACCGGGGACUGUCGGUGCAUAAGCCCAAGCCUAAUAUCCUUUGACAGAAUCAAGACAUGAAAAACAGAGGAAAAGACUCCAGAAGCAGGCAGAAUACAUAUUGUUGGAGGCUUUAUUUCCACAGUCCUGUUAUUUUUCCCUUUAUGGGAAAUCUGUGCAGUUGCCUGAGAGACUUAAAUAAUGGACUCUCUCUGCAAUGAAUGGAGCUGCUGUUCUGUAAUGUCUUGCACAUCAAAGCAAUUUUUUUUGAAUCUACAUUUACCUCUUUGAUAAAGACAACACGGGGAGGAAUUCAGCAACUACAGAGAACCCGCGGGUCUGCGCAUCCACCUAGAGCUUGCUUUGACAGCGGUGUAUGAAUUGCUAUUGAAGUGGUGGUUUUGUUUCCAUUAUCAAAUAAACAGGAGUUUCCUUUUCUGAAAUUCCCAAAUACUCUUUUCCAUUUUGAAGUUCCUAUACAUGCACAGUGUGUGUACACACAUAUAUGGGUACUCACCAUGUGUCUACCUAUACAUA